rnacentral:rRNA from 1 species
GCAGUCGAGCGAGCCUUCGGGCUUAGCGGCGGACGGGUGAGUAACGCGUGGUAACGUGCCCUUUGCUACGGAAUAGCCCCGGGAAACUGGGAGUAAUACCGUAUGUGCCCUUUGGGGGAAAGAUUUAUCGGCAAAGGAUCGGCCCGCGUUGGAUUAGGUAGUUGGUGGGGUAAUGGCCUACCAAGCCGACGAUCCAUAGCUGGUUUGAGAGGAUGAUCAGCCACACUGGGACUGAGACACGGCCCAGACUCCUACGGGAGGCAGCAGUGGGGAAUCUUAGACAAUGGGCGCAAGCCUGAUCUAGCCAUGCCGCGUGAUCGAUGAAGGCCUUAGGGUUGUAAAGAUCUUUCAGGUGGGAAGAUAAUGACUGUACCACCAGAAGAAGCCCCGGUUAACUCCGUGCCAGCAGCCGCGGUAAUACGGAGGGGGCUAGCGUUGUUCGGAAUUACUGGGCGUAAAGCGCACGUAGGCGGAUCAGAAAGUCAGAGGUAAAAUCCCAGGGCUCAACCUUGGAACUGCCUUUGAAACUCCUGAUCUUGAGGUCGAGAGAGGUGAGUGGAAUUCCGAGUG